GACGAACGCUGGCGGCGUGCUUAACACAUGCAAGUCGAACGGUAAGGCCCUUCGGGGUACACGAGUGGCGAACGGGUGAGUAACACGUGGGUGAUCUGCCCUGCACUUCGGGAUAAGCCUGGGAAACUGGGUCUAAUACCGGAUAGACCCUGGGAUGCAUGUCCUGGGGUGGAAAGCUUUUGCGGUGUGGGAUGGGCCCGCGGCCUAUCAGCUUGUUGGUGGGGUGAUGGCCUACCAAGGCGACGACGGGUAGCCGGCCUGAGAGGGUGACCGGCCACACUGGGACUGAGAGACGGCCCAGACUCCUACGGGAGGCAGCAGUGGGGAAUAUUGCACAAUGGGCGCAAGCCUGAUGCAGCGACGCCGCGUGAGGGAUGACGGCCUUCGGGUUGUAAACCUCUUUCAGCACCGACGAAGCGCAAGUGACGGUAGGUGCAGAAGAAGGACCGGCCAACUACGUGCCAGCCGCCGCGGUAA
rnacentral:rRNA from 1 species